AUUGAACGCUGGCGGCAGGCCUAACACAUGCAAGUCGAACGAGCGGCGGACGGGUGAGUAAUGUAUGGGAAACUGCCUGAUGGAGGGGGAUAACUACUGGAAACGGUAGCUAAUACCGCAUACCAUCAGAUGUUCCCAGAUGGGAUUAGCUAGUUGGUGGGGUAACGGCUCACCCAGGCGACGAUCUCUAGCUGGUCUGAGAGGAUGACCAGCCACACGGGGACGUAGACACGGGCCAGACUCCUACGGGAGGCAGCAGUGGGGAAUAUUGCACAAUGGGCGCAAGCCUGAUGCAGCCAUGCAGCGUGUAGGAAGAAGGCCUUCGGGUUGUAAAGUACUUUCAGUGGGGAGGCGUUACCCGCAGAAGAAGCACCGGCUAACUCCGUGCCAGCAGCCGCGGUAAUUC
rnacentral:rRNA from 1 species